rnacentral:rRNA from 1 species
UUAAGCUACUAAGGGCGUACGGUGAAUGCCUUGGUGCCAAAUGCCGAAGAAGGACGUGGAACACUGCGAUAAGCCUCGGUGAGCCGUGUACAGGCUGCGACCCGGGGAUGUCCGAAUGGGGAAACCCGGCGUCGGGACGCAAGUCUCCGACGUCAUCCCUUUGCUGAAUACAUAAGCUUAGGGAGGGGAACCUGGGGAACUGAAACAUCUUAGUACCCAGAGGAAAAGAGAUUAUUCCGCUAGUAGUGGCGAGCGAACGCGGAUCAGCCCAAACCAGUCCGGCUUGCCGGAUUGGGGUUGUAGGACCAGCGUAUGGGAGUUAGAAAUCGGAUGGCUAGCAGAAUGGUGUUGAAAAGCCUACCAUAGAGGGUGCUAGUCCCGUAAGCGAAAGCCGUCCGACUCCCGCUGAGUUCCUGAGUACCACCGGGCACGCUAAUCCGGUGGGAAGCUGGGGAGACCACUCUCCAAGGCUAAAUACAUUUGGCAACCGAUAGUGAACAAGUACCGUGAGGGAAAGGUGAAAAGAACCCCUGUUAGGGGAGUGAAAUAGAAUCUGAAACCGUGCGCUUACAAGCAGUCGGAGGGCUAAUGGCGGGUCUGUGUCCCCGGGAAACCGGGUGAUGCGCCGCUAGGCCUGACGGCGUGCCUUUUGGAGAAUGAGCCGGCGAGUUAAUAUUUGUGGCGAGGUUAAGGGAGAAACACCCGGAGCCGUAGCGAAAGCGAGUCUGAAUAGGGCGUUGAGUCGCAAGGAUUAGACACGAAACCAGGUGAGCUACCCAUGGCCAGGGUGAAGCGAGUCUAAACACUCGUGGAGGCCCGAACCUUUAGCUGUUGCAAAAGCUUGGGAUGAGCUGUGGGUAGAGGUGAUAUGCCAAACGAACCUGGAGAUAGCUUGUUCUCCCCGAAAUAGCUUUAGGGCUAGCGUCACGCGUUUAGUACUGGAGGUAGAGCACUGGAUGGGCUCGGGGGCUUAUCGCUUACCAAACCCAACCAAACUCCGAAUGCCAGUACUCCAGAGCGUGGCAGUCGGACCGUGGGAGAUGAGUUUCAUGGUCGAGAGGGAAAGAGCCCAGACCAUCGGCUAAGGUCCUUAAGUCUGAACUAAGUGGGAAACGAUGUGGGAUUGUUGAGACAGCCAGGAGGUUGGCUUAGAAGCAGCCAUCCUUUAAAGAGUGCGUAACAGCUCACUGGUCAAACGAUCCUGCGCGGAUAAUGUAACGGGGCUAAGUUCAGCACCGAAGCCAUGGGUCUCUGUCAUCUGCGGAUGACAGGGGCGGUAGGGGAGCGUUCUGUCUGCACUGAAGGUCGACCGAAAGGACGACUGGAGCGGGCAGAAGUGAGAAUGCCGGCAUGAGUAGCGUAAAACACGUGAGAACCGUGUUCGCCGUAAGUCUAAGGUUUCCGACGGAAGGUCAAUCCGCGUCGGGUUAGUCGGUCCUUAGCCGAGGCCGAAAGGCGUAGGUGAUGGACAUCCGGUUAAUAUUCCGGAACCACCUAGGUGGAGCGAUGGGGUAACGCAACGAGGUAGGCCAGCCUGCGAUUGGUUGUGCAGGUGGUAAGCGUGUAGGUGUUGAGGUCCGCAGGCAAAUCCACGGACUGAGCCGAGGCGCGAUGCCGAGCCCUUGAGGCAUAAGUGGUUGAGCCUUGUUGCCAAGAAAAACCUCUAAGCGAUGAAACCUGGGUGACCGUACCGCAAACCGACACUGGUAGACGGGUAGAGUAUACCAAGGCGAACGGGAGAACCCUCGUUAAGGAACUAGGCAAAUUGGCCCCGUAACUUCGGGAGAAGGGGCGCCUCCUUAUGUGAAAUUAAUACUGAUGGAGCAAGGGGAGGCCACAGUGAAAUGGCUCUGGUGACUGGUUAACAAAACCACAGGUCUCUGCAAAGCCGCAAGGCGAUGUAUAGGGGCUGACACCUGCCCAGUGCCGGAAGGUUAAAGGGAAGGGUUAGCUCCCCUCGGGGAGCGAAGCUUAGAACUGAAGCCCCGGUGAACGGCGGCCGUAACUAUAACGGUCCUAAGGUAGCGAAAUUCCUUGUCGGGUAAGUUCCGACCCGCACGAAUGGUGU